rnacentral:rRNA from 1 species
UGGGGAAUUGUUCGCAAUGGGCGCAAGCCUGACGACGCAACGCCGCGUGGAGGAUGAAGAAUUUCGGUUCGUAAACUCCUGUCGAGCGGGACGAAAGAUUCGCCGGUUAAUACCCGGUGGAAGUGACGGUACCGCUAAAGGAAGCCCCGGCUAACUCCGUGCCAGCAGCCGCGGUAAUACGGGGGGGGCAAGCGUUGUUCGGAAUUACUGGGCGUAAAGGGCGCGUAGGCGGCCUUCUAAGUCAGACGUGAAAUCCCCCGGCUUAACCUGGGAACUGCGUCUGAUACUGGGAGGCUUGAGUAUGGGAGAGGGAUGUAGAAUUCCAGGUGUAGCGGUGAAAUGCGUAGAUAUCUGGAGGAAUACCGGUGGCGAAGGCGGCAUCCUGGACCAUAACUGACGCUGAGGCGCGAAAGCUAGGGGAGCAAA